UGAACAGUUGGUGAGCGCCACGAAUGAAUUUUUACAUUAUACAAUCUCCCGUCCCCUCCAAACAACACACCGGUUUAUUCAAAAUUACGCUUAACGCAAAUGAUAUAUGGCCUUGGAAUACCCAUUUAUUAUAAGGUUAUGUGGCAAGGGCGCGCACGAUAUUUAAGCGACCAAGCCUUACUCAAAAUCAACACAGCACAAUCAUCAAAUCAACGAUUACUGAAUACAACAGCCAGCAUUAAAA